ensembl:snRNA U6 U6 spliceosomal RNA
GUGCUCGCUGCUUCGGUACCACGGGUACUAAAACUGGAACAAGGCAGAGGAGAUCAGCACGGCCCCGCACAAGGGUGACACGCAAAUUCAUGAAGCAUGCCAGACUUUU